GUUGGUGUAGUUUAAUGGUGGAGUGCAUGCUUUGUAUGUAUAAUGUCCUGAGUUCAAUCCCCAGCUUCUCCC